UUUCAUUGUAAACAUUUACGUUAAUAACAUUUUUAAAUCUGUUCUUAUCAGUUUAAUAUCUGAUAUGUCCUUUAUUUGAGGACUGUAUAUUAAAUUGAUUUUUGAAACAGAGGGCUGGAAUAGGAGCUUGCUCUGUCCACCCCAUGCAUUGACCUGGUAUUGCAGUGCCUCCAGGACCGGUGCCUCUCCU